UGUGCACUAGCUGUCAUUGGAUAAGUCAU
rnacentral:piRNA from 1 species